GCGAGUGAAGCGGGAAGAGCUCAAAUUUGAAAUCUGGCAGUCUUCGAUUGUCCGAGUUGUAAUCUAUAGAGGCGUUUUCCGUGCCGGACCGUGUCCAAGUCUCCUGGAAAGGAGUAUCAAAGAGGGUGAUAAUCCCGUACUUAACACGACCACCGGUGCUCUGUGAUACGUCUUCUACGAGUCGAGUUGUUUGGGAAUGCAGCUCAAAAUGGGUGGUGAAUUCCAUCUAAAGCUAAAUAUUGGCGAGAGACCGAUAGCGAACAAGUACCGUGAGGGAAAGAUGAAAAGCACUUUGGAAAGAGAGUUAAACAGUACGUGAAAUUGUUGAAAGGGAAACGAUUGAAGUCAGUCGUGUUCUUUGGAUUCAGCCAGUUCUGCUGGUCUACUUCCUUGGAACGGGUCAACAUCAGUUUUGUCCGGUGGAUAAAGGUAGUAGGAAUGUGACUUCUCCGGAAGUGUUAUAGCCUAUUAUCACAUACACUGGGUGAGACUGAGGACUGCAGCUCGCCUUUAUGGCCGGUCUUCGGACACGUUCGAGCUUAGGAUGUUGACAUAAUGGCUUUAAACGACCC
rnacentral:rRNA from 1 species